UACGGAGGGGGCUAGCGUUGUUCGGAAUUACUGGGCGUAAAGGGCUCGUAGGUGGCCAACUAAGUCAGACGUGAAAUCCCUCAGCUUAACUGGGGAACUGCGUCUGAUACUGGAUGGCUUGAGUUUGGGAGAGGGAUGCGGAAUUCCAGGUGUAGCGGUGAAAUGCGUAGAUAUCAGGAGGAACACCGGUGGCGAAGGCGGUUCUCUGGGCAUUACCUGACGCUGAGGAGCGAAAGUGUGGGGAGCGAACAGG
rnacentral:rRNA from 1 species